rnacentral:rRNA from 1 species
GAACGGGGAGGAGCCCAGAGCCUGAAUCAGCAUGUGUGUUAGUGGAAGCGUCUGGAAAGGCGCGCGAUACAGGGUGACAGCCCCGUACACAAAAGCGCAUAUGCUGUGAGCUCGAUGAGUAGGGCGGGACACGUGGUAUCCUGUCUGAAUAUGGGGGGACCAUCCUCCAAGGCUAAAUACUCCUGACUGACCGAUAGUGAACCAGUACCGUGAGGGAAAGGCGAAAAGAACCCCGG